GCCCCGGUAGCUCAGCUGGUCAGAGCGGUCGCCUUGUAAGCGACAGGUCGGGGGUUCGAAAGUUCACAACAAAAAGCUUUAUAUCAAAUUUAGACACGAAACUCCCUCCCGGGGCUCCA
rnacentral:tRNA from 1 species